UCGCUGAGGGAUGAAGUUCUAUGAUCGUAACUUCUUUUAAUAAGGGAUAAAGUGUGGGACGUGUCCUAUUUUGUUAUGUACCUUAUGAAUAAGGAUCGGCUAACUCCCGUGCCAGCAGCCCGCGGUAAUACGGAGGAUCCGAGCGUUAUCCCGNAUUUAUUGGNUUUAAAGGGUGCGUAGGCGGCCUUUUNAAGUCAGCGGUGAAAGUCUGUGGCUCNNCCAUAGAAUUGCCGUUGAAACUGGGAGGCUUGAGUAUGUUUGAGGCAGGCGNNNGCGUGGUGUAGCGGUGAAAUGCUUAGAUAUCACGCAGAACCCCGAUUGCGAAGGCAGCCUGNCCAAGCCAUGACUGACGCUGAUGCACGAAAGCGUGGGGAUCAAACAGGAUUAGAUACCCUGGUAGUCCACGCAGUAAACGAUGAUCACUAGCUGUUUGCGAUACAUUGUAAGCGGCACAGCGAAAGCGUUAAGUGAUCCACCUGGGGAGUACGCCGGCAACGGUGAAACUCAAAGGAAUUGACGGGGGCCCGCACAAGCGGAGGAACAUGUGGUUUAAUUCGAUGAUACGCGAGGAACCUUACCCGGGUUUGAACGCAUUCGGACCGAGGUGGAAACACCUUUUCUAGCAAUAGCCGUUUGCGAGGUGCUGCAUGGUUGUCGUCAGCUCGUGCCGUGAGGUGUCGGCUUAAGUGCCAUAACGAGCGCAACCCUUGCCACUAGUUACUAACAGGUGAUGCUGAGGACUCUGGUGGGACUGCCAGCGUAAGCUGCGAGGAAGGCGGGGAUGACGUCAAAUCAGCACGGCCCUUACAUCCGGGGCGACACACGUGUUACAAUGGCGUGGACAAAGGGAUGCCACCUGGCGACAGGGAGCGAAUCCCCAAACCACGUCUCAGUUCGGAUCGGAGUCUGCAACCCGACUCCGUGAAGCUGGAUUCGCUAGUAAUCGCGCAUCAGCCAUGGCGCGGUGAAUACGUUCCCGGGCCUUGUACACACCGCCCGUCAAGCCAUGGGAGCCGGGGGUACCUGAAGUCCGUAACCGCGAGGAUCGGCCUAGGGUAAAACUGGUGACUGGGGCU
rnacentral:rRNA from 1 species